rnacentral:rRNA from 1 species
GGUUGCGAUCAUACCAGCACUAAUGCACCGGAUCCCAUCAGAACUCCGCAGUUAAGCGUGCUUGGGCGAGAGUAGUACUAGGAUGGGUGACCCCCUGGAAAGUCCUCGUGUUGCAACCCC